rnacentral:rRNA from 1 species
UGAUCCUGGCUCAGAUUGAACGCUGGCGGCAGGCCUAACACAUGCAAGUCGAACGGUAACAGGAUAGCUUGCUAUCGCUGACGAGUGGCGGACGGGUGAGUAAUACUUAGGGAUCUGCCUCUGUGUGGGGGAUAACUAUUGGAAACGAUAGCUAAUACCGCAUAAUGUCUACGGACCAAAGCGGGCUUCGGCUCGUGCGCAGAGAGGAACCUAAGCGAGAUUAGCUAGUUGGUGAGGUAAAGGCUCACCAAGGCGACGAUCUCUAGCUGUUCUGAGAGGAAGAUCAGCCACACUGGAACUGAGACACGGUCCAGACUCCUACGGGAGGCAGCAGUGGGGAAUAUUGCACAAUGGGGGAAACCCUGAUGCAGCCAUGCCGCGUGUGUGAAGAAGGCCUUCGGGUUGUAAAGCACUUUCAGUUGUGAGGAAAGUUUAGUAGUUAAUACCUGCUAGAUGUGACGUUAGCAACAGAAGAAGCACCGGCUAACUCCGUGCCAGCAGCCGCGGUAAUACGGAGGGUGCGAGCGUUAAUCGGAAUUACUGGGCGUAAAGCGCACGCAGGCGGUCUGUUAAGCUAGAUGUGAAAGCCCCGCGCUCAACGUGGGAGGGUCAUUUAGAACUGGCAAACUAGAGUCUUGGAGAGGGGAGUGGAAUUCCAGGUGUAGCGGUGAAAUGCGUAGAGAUCUGGAGGAACAUCAAUGGCGAAGGCAACUCCCUGGCCAAAGACUGACGCUCAUGUGCGAAAGUGUGGGUAGCGAACAGGAUUAGAUACCCUGGUAGU